rnacentral:lncRNA from 1 species
GUUCUGCUGGGGCGCGCAGCUGCUUGGGGCUGAAGAGCCGCACCCAGGCCUGAGGUCCAGCUUGGGCCCCGGCGACCCGCGGGUGGGCGGGCUCAUGGGCGCCCUCUGGUGCUUCGCUCCCUGGCUUUGCGCUCGGAGCUUUGACUUGAGAAUCCAUAUCCUUCGUUCAGCACAAAGUUUCUGAGCGCCUACCACGUGGAGAGAGCUAAGUGCUAGGUGCUGUGAAGAAACACAGCGUUUAAGACAGGAUCCCUGUCUUCCAGAAGCUUUUCAAAUAAACGGAUUGAUUCCAGGAAUAAAUAGCU